AAUAAAUUAGUCAGAAUAUUUUGGACGAAAGGGAUUUGUAAAUCAUAGUAGAUGAUCAGUUUAGCCUAAAAGUCUAGAUUCAUUUAGGCUAGACUUAUUUUAAAAACAAAAAACAAAAAAAACAUUUAGUACAGUCUCAGCAAUGAUUUGGGUCACUCUUUCUUUGAAAAUGAGUGACUCAAGUUUAAUAAAUUAGUUGAAGUUUAAUAAAUUAGUUUGACUUUUGUGACCAAAAUGUUGUUUUUGACUAAAACACACUGGGCAGAUGUGGUUCUAUCCACUAGGAAAUUAAAGACAAAGUAAAAACUAGGAUGAUUUUAAAUCAGCAAUAUUUUUUCCUAACUAACAAUAAAAAGUCUGAAUUUGCAUGAACCACCUGAGCAAUUAAUUGGGGGCCAUCUUACAGGUGUGGACAUGCUGUUAGCUGGUGUUUGCUAAGCAGCCAAUCCAAGAGCGGUAUGUAUUUUCCUUGCAGCUGAUUGGUUGUACCCCCAAGAGCAUCUGUAAGGGAGACUAUUAGCUUCUUUAGCAGUUCUAAGAUGGUUUUUACUGUGUGUGUGUAGUAAGGUUUUAUGUUUGAACUAUUAGAACUGGUGGUCAUAAACGUCUUUAGGUCUUAAGUAUUUAUGGGUGGUUGUAGUCCCGAGCCCCCAUGACUACAGAGAGUUAACUGUUUCUGUGUACAGGAAAGAUAAACGUGUUUCUCCUGCUCUUACUUUUGGCUGUUUGGGUUCAUUAGUGCUACAUUAUAGUGACUUUACUUUGGAUUUAUGUUGCUUUGUGCCUCCACCAUCAGGAGUAUUUAAGCAACAAUUUGAGAUCCUUGGAUAUAAAAGGAACCAAAGACAACAGAACAAAGUGACACGACACCAACGACAUGAACCCAACGACAGAUACGUUGUUCGCCAACCAAAACUCUGCGACUUCUGACAAAGUUUUAGGAACCCCUUUAAAAGCCGGUUGGGACCCCGCAGUUAAACGUGCUAAUGGGCAACAGCAGCUUAUAUUGAGUACAUUUGUUUUCACAGGAAAGGGUUUAUUGCCAGACCCAAAAAGUAAAGGUCAACACCUUUAGGUCAGCCACUUUGUCACCUAUAUGGGUUUUAUUCCCAUAGCAACCGUAACACAAAUUACGCACAAGCUGCAGUGUCCUCAUUCCUGCGUCCUUCCUGGAGUUCAAAUCAGAAGGACAUUCGACCAAAUUUCAGCUUCAGAACAAAUAUGUGCAAGAUUAGAAAGUAGCUACAGUUUGCCCCCAUAUCCAUACCAAAGACUUUUAUAGUGCAUUAAUAAUGGAAAACACAUGGCUGCUGUCGCCAAGAAUUAAUGAGGUACCUGUAUAUAUUUUUUUAAAGAAGAUCUUGAAGAGGAUCUUGGUGUUCUUUUUAAUUCCCUUGUCAUCUAGGUAAUUUUCGUCUCUUACACACCACGGAUCUUUGAAUCCCUACGGCAAUUAAACACAUCUGAGCUUCAUUGUCUCCCAGUGAGACCCGUUACAGCCAUCCAAAGGCAAAAAGGGAAUGAAAAGUGUGUCUGUAACAACUGCUUGAGGUCUAAGUAGCAGAGGAGAGAUUCAUGGGGGAGGGCUGUGGGCCAAACGCUCUUGGCAAAGAGAAAAAAGUUCACCCUGCUGGUCAGGCAAUCCAGCUUGUAGAUUUACAAAACCUGCCUGGCUGCAUCACAAAAGAGGCACUUAGAUUAUAUUUCUUUUUUCUUUUGUUUUUUUUUGUUUUUUUACAAAGAAAGAAUGUCCCUUUGGCUUCCCUUUUGGCAUGGAUUUCUCCUGGACGCGGUGGAGGAUUCAGCCCAGAUAAAUCCUGCUGAAUCCUCCUCCUACUCACCGUUAAACUUUCUCCCUUGCAGCCUCCACAUCCGCACCACAACAUGAGCUCCAUGUUCCCAGCGGCACAAUCUGACCGCCGGCACUUCCACACUGUCAGAGCCGGUUUCAAGCAUUCAUGUGGGGGUCACAGUUCCUGCAACAGCACUCGUUACGUCGAGUUGUUUUCAAACGAUUCAUUUAGCUCUUCCUCUCCGAGGUGCUGGAGUCGUGCGAGGAAGUCCGUGUCAGACCUUUAGGUCGCUCUGCUGGAGAGUUCAGGAAGCCACCGGGGAACGUUAAAGUCAAGUGAUUUCAUCGCCGAAGAUCUCUUCAGCUGCCACUUUGUUUCAGGUCACCGUAAAAUGAACAACAUGGACGACAGGAGCCUGCAGAACCACUGAGGACAUCUGGCAGGUCUCUACGCACUCCAAGAUCCUUCGUUUGUUGCUGACAAAGCACAUUGCAAUGUAUCAUGACCGCCUAUUUAAUACUUUAAGUGCAAAAAGUGAAAACAAAAACAAAUAAUUUGCAAAAGAAGUAACAUUUAUUCUAAAUUCAGGAGAGCCACUGAGCUAUUUCAACAUUUUGAAUAUAUUUGUACUAAGAUUUUUCAAAACAGGGAAAUGAGGUAAGAUUGAUUCUACAAUAAAGAUGGUCAUAAGUUGUUGUGCAAACAAACAAUGAUGCAAACCAAACUUGUCAUUUCAUUGUAGACCUUUUGAUGAGGAUAACAGGCAGACUGGCAGCCCUGGGUGGACUUGUGGACUUGCUAGUGAACACUUUUCACAAGAAUCGAGGUCAAGCCCUCUGGCUUGGAUGAGGAACAACCGCCACAUGGACUCCAUCAGGAUGCGUCACUGUUGGAAGAACUCAGAACUGAUGGUAACUCUCACCUUUCCUCCUCUGGACAAAGGGUUUGCUUGAUGUGCUCAACAGUCAGAAGAAGUAUUCAUCAGAGAGAAUAACUUUGAUUUUGAGAAAUUUUCAUUGUAAAUUUCUUUUUUCUUCUUCUCCUUCUUUUUUAUAUUGUGAACUUUUUACUGGAAGCGGGAAACCUCAUGCAUGGAAGCUUUAGCUCCAGUCUUCUGCUGUACAUACAUGUCCUUCCUGCAGAAUUUCAGUCGAUUCUCAAUAUUUAUUUUGGGGUAAAAGUGGAUAAUUUGAUGUCCUUCUUGUUGCAAGCUUGUUGUCCAAAAGUUUUCAUUUCACAGUAAGAGCAGAUGCACUGAUACCAGUUUCUGUCGUUGACAUUUCGAAAAUAAAUUUGCUUAGUGGAAGCAGCUCUUAACUUUGAUAAGCAGUUUUGGCUCUAAUGUGAGGUGUGUUUUUUCUUUUCACAUCAUUUGAGACAUGUUCCACAACCAGAUGUUGCCAAACCACAAUGUCUUAUUACAAAACUUAUUUAUGUGUGAUUUUUUAUUGUGCUUUUUAUUUGAUGGAAGCACUGUUAUUGUGAAACUGUUUUUUCCAAACUAGCAGAAUAGUGGCGAAGUUUUGCGCACAUUUGGCAUCUAUUGAAAAUGGGUUUUGCUGUACAAUUUUCUAAAUGCAUUUGUAAUAAAUUCACAAAUUCAUCUGUGAUUUUUUCACAUUAAAAUAAAGAAAACAUGUACAAGUUA